rnacentral:rRNA from 1 species
UACGUAGGCAGCAAGCGUUGUUCGGAAUUACUGGGCGUAAAGAGUGUGUAGGCGGUGCUCUAAGUUCGGUGUGAAAUCUCCCGGCUUAACUGGGAGGGUGCGCCGGAAACUGGAGUGCUCGAGCGUGGGAGAGGAAAGCGGAAUUCCUGGUGUAGCGGUGAAAUGCGUAGAUAUCGCUUGGAACGCCGAAGGUGAAAACAGGUCGCUGGGGAUGUGCCGACGCUGAGACACGAAAGCCAGGGGAGCAAACGGG